AAGGUUGGUUUUCCAUCUGCCAGGUUUUUGUUCCCGAAACAGAGAAGAGAUGAUGAUCGUGGCACUGGCUAGCAGGGUAUGAACCCACAACAGGCACUGAUGAGUACAGAAGAUAGGACACUGGGAUCCACCUUAAGAUGGGAAAAGAAGAUUGAAGGUGGUAAGAGUAUGACCAUUGAUGAACAUGUUGAUGCUCCCCUGUGGCGAAGCUUGACUUCAACCCAAAACUAAAAUAAAGCUAGAUGGACAUGUGCAUGAGGAUAAAUUAGGUGAAGAGUCAAUUUUUGUUUCUUUUAUUUUAGUCACACAAAUUGGUUCCCAAGUUUUAUAUUUAUUUGUUAGGUGCAGUUAGUUGGGUUUAAUUAAGGAAAUAUUUGUUAGAGGCAAUAUCAUACUGACUGAUUGGUCCCAUCAUCGCUGUUUUGUUAGUCUACCAAGCUUCUUGCAGUUCAUGUUUUACACUGCUCUAAUUCUAAAUACAAAAAUUUUAGUAUUUGAUGA